GCUUCUUCUAGGCAGAGGCAGACUUGAGGAAGGCCCAGGCAGACUUCGACCGGCAGGCUGAAAUUACGAAACUCCUCCUGGAAGGCGUCAGAUCUUCACAAGCUGCCCACCUGCGCCACCUCAAUGAGUUGGUCGAGGCGCAAGUGCGGUUCUACGAAGAGUCCCAUAAAGUGAUGAUAGAACUGCAGAAGGAAAUGGCCAGUGUCCCGUUCAAUCCCUCGGCAGCCGGGGCAUUUGACAACAGUGUCCCCGUUUUUCAAAUAAAUGACGAAGAGAUUGACUUGACAUCCCCUAGCUCACCCUAACCUAGCAUGAGUCACUACGCAUUAAAAAAAAAAAAAAAAAAAAAAAA
rnacentral:lncRNA from 1 species